rnacentral:rRNA from 1 species
CCUACGGGCGGCAGCAGUGAGGAAUAUUGGUCAAUGGGCGCUAGCCUGAACCAGCCAAGUAGCGUGAAGGAUGACUGCCCUAUGGGUUGUAAACUUCUUUUAUAUGGGAAUAAAGUGCAGUAUGUAUACUGCUUUGCAUGUACCUUAUGAAUAAGGAUCGGCUAACUCCGUGCCAGCAGCCGCGGUAAUACGGAGGUUUCGAGCGUUAUCCGGAUUUAUUGGGUUUAAAGGGAGUGUAGUCGGGUUGUUAAGUCAGUUGUGAAAGUUUGCGGCUCAACCGUAAAAUUGCAGUUGAUACUGGCAGCCUUGAGUGCAGUAGAGGUAGGCGGAAUUCGUGGUGUAGCGGUGAAAUGCUUAGAUAUCACGAAGAACUCCGAUUGCGAAGGCAGCCUGCUGGACUGUAACUGACGCUGAUGCUCGAAAGUGUGGGUAUCAAACAGGAUUAGAUACCCCUGUAGUC